rnacentral:pre_miRNA from 1 species
UCUUAUGAAUGAGAAAGAAAGUGGUUUCUUGAGAUGGAAUCUACUCCUGGUGAAGAUGCUAUGAA